ACGGUAACAUUUCUAGCUUGCUAGAAGAUGACGAGUGGCGGACGGGUGAGUAAUGCUUGGGAACUUGCCUUUGCGAGGGGGAUAACAGUUGGAAACGACUGCUAAUACCGCAUAAUGUCUUCGGACCAAACGGGGCUUCGGCUCCGGCGCAAAGAGAGGCCCAAGUGAGAUUAGCUAGUUGGUAAGGUAACGGCUUACCAAGGCGACGAUCUCUAGCUGUUCUGAGAGGAAGAUCAGCCACACUGGGACUGAGACACGGCCCAGACUCCUACGGGAGGCAGCAGUGGGGAAUAUUGCACAAUGGGGGAANCCCUGAUGCAGCCCAUGCCGCGUGUGUGAAGAAGGCCUUCGGGUUGUAAAGCACUUUCAGUUGUGAGGAAAAAGUUAGUAGUUAAUACCUGCUAGCCGUGACGUUAACAACAGAAGAAGCACCGGCUAACUCCGUGCCAGCAGCCGCGGUAAUACGGAGGGUGCGAGCGUUAAUCGGAAUUACUGGGCGUAAAGCGCACGCAGGCGGUUUGUUAAGCUAGAUGUGAAAGCCCCGGGCUCAACCUGGGAUGGUCAUUUAGAACUGGCAGACUAGAGUCUUGGAGAGGGGAGUGGAAUUCCAGGUGUAGCGGUGAAAUGCGUAGAUAUCUGGAGGAACAUCAGUGGCGAAGGCGACUCCCUGGCCAAAGACUGACGCUCAUGUGCGAAAGUGUGGGUAGCGAACAGGAUUAGAUACCCUGGUAGUCCACACCGUAAACGCUGUCUACUAGCUGUGUGUGCCUUUAAGGCGUGCGUAGCGAAGCUAACGCGCUAAGUAG
rnacentral:rRNA from 1 species